rnacentral:rRNA from 1 species
UACGAAGGGGGCUAGCGUUGUUCGGAAUUACUGGGCGUAAAGCGCACGUAGGCGGAUAUUUAAGUCAGGGGUGAAAUCCCAGAGCUCAACUCUGGAACUGCCUUUGAUACUGGGUAUCUUGAGUAUGGAAGAGGUAAGUGGAAUUGCGAGUGUAGAGGUGAAAUUCGUAGAUAUUCGCAGGAACACCAGUGGCGAAGGCGGCUUACUGGUCCAUUACUGACGCUGAGGUGCGAAAGCGUGGGGAGCAAACAGGAUUAGAAACCCCGGUAGUCC